CUCUCCACGCUAAGUGGCAUACGCCUAUUUUUGGAGGGAUCUCACUUCACAGUGGGACCCA
rnacentral:snRNA from 1 species